AGACCUACGGGGGGCAGCAGUGGGGAAUAUUGCACAAUGGGGGAAACCCUGAUGCAGCGACGCCGCGUGAGUGAAGAAGUAUUUCGGUAUGUAAAGCUCUAUCAGCAGGGAAGAAAAUGACGGUACCUGACUAAGAAGCCCCGGCUAACUACGUGCCAGCAGCCGCGGUAAUACGUAGGGGGCAAGCGUUAUCCGGAUUUACUGGGUGUAAAGGGAGCGUAGACGGCCAGACAAGUCAGAAGUGAAAGCCCAG
rnacentral:rRNA from 1 species